UACGUAGGGUGCGAGCGUUGUCCGGAAUUAUUGGGCGUAAAGAGCUCGUAGGCGGUGUGUCGCGUCGGUCGUGAAAACUUGGGGCUUAACCCUGAGCUUGCGGUCGAUACGGGCAGGCUGGAGUUCGGUAGGGGAGACUGGAAUUCCUGGUGUAGCGGUGAAAUGCGCAGAUAUCAGGAGGAACACCGGUGGCGAAGGCGGGUCUCUGGACAGUUCCUGACACUGAGACACGAAGGCCAGGGGAGCAAACGGG
rnacentral:rRNA from 1 species